CCUACGGGAGGCAGCAGUGGGGAAUAUUGCGCAAUGGGGGAAACCCUGAUGCAGCGACGCCGCGUGAGCGAUGAAGUAUUUCGGUAUGUAAAGCUCUAUCAGCAGGGAAGAAAAUGACGGUACCUGCCUAAGAAGCCCCGGCUAACUACGUGCCAGCAGCCGCGGCAAUACGUCGGGGGCAAGCGUCAUCCGGAUUUACUGGGUGUAAAGGGAGCGUAGACGGCUGUGCAAGCCAGAUGUGAAAGGCCGGGGCUCAACCCCGGGACUGCAUUUGAAACUGUGUGGCUGGAGUGUCGGAGAGGCAGGCGGAAUUCCUAGUGUAGCGGUGAAAUGCGUAGAUAUUAGGAGGAACACCAGUGGCGAAGGCGGCCUGCUGGACGAUGACUGACGUUGAGGCUCGAAAGCGUGGGGAGCAAACAGGAUUAGAUACCCUAGUAGUC
rnacentral:rRNA from 1 species